GAAGGUAUAACUCAGUCGGUUAGAGUGCGAGACUUUUCAUAUCGAGGCCGUAGGUUCGAAUCCUACUACCUUUCA
rnacentral:tRNA from 1 species